AUUGAACGCUGGCGGCAGGCUUAACACAUGCAAGUCGAGCGGGGGGAGGUAGCUUGCUACCUAACCUAGCGGCGGACGGGUGAGUAAUGCUUAGGAAUCUGCCUAUUAGUGGGGGACAACAUUUCGAAAGGGAUGCUAAUACCGCAUACGCCCUAAGGGGGAAAGCAGGGGAUCUUCGGACCUUGCGCUAAUAGAUGAGCCUAAGUCGGAUUAGCUAGUUGGUGGGGUAAAGGCCUACCAAGGCGACGAUCUGUAGCGGGUCUGAGAGGAUGAUCCGCCACACUGGGACUGAGACACGGCCCAGACUCCUACGGGAGGCAGCAGUGGGGAAUAUUGGACAAUGGGCGGAAGCCUGAUCCAGCCAUGCCGCGUGUGUGAAGAAGGCCUUUUGGUUGUAAAGCACUUUAAGCGAGGAGGAGGCUACCUGGAUUAAUACUCUAGGAUAGUGGACGUUACUCGCAGAAUAAGCACCGGCUAACUCUGUGCCAGCAGCCGCCGCAGUAA
rnacentral:rRNA from 1 species